AUCUGGGCAGGACUACGUGUCCAUGCUGGAAUCUUCAGAAAGUAGGUGCAGCAUCUGCAGCUCCUCAUUUCCAGCCCCCAGUUCUGGCUCUGACGGAUACGAUCCAUAGAUGGACUUGACUGCCUACAGGAAGCUAACAGAAUACCUAGGGAGCUAACAUGAUAGAGAAGAAAGCCAUUCUGACAUGUUGGUGAUCACAAUAGAGUAGAACUGGGGUGGAAUUUGAGCACAGAAGAGUUUGAAGUCCUGGGAUCUGAACUGGAGAGAAAACGUGAACCUGACAGCAAGG